UUCGGCAGAAUCCUAGUGGCGAACGGGUGAGUAACGCGUAGGCAACCUGCCCCCCGGAUUGGGACAACACCCCGAAAGGGGUGCUAAUACCGGAUACGAAGAUAGCACCGCAUGGUGAUAUUUUGAAAGAUGGCCUCUAUUUAUAAGCUAUCGCCGGGGGAUGGGCCUGCGUCCGAUUAGCUGGUUGGUGGGGUAACGGCCUACCAAGGCGACGAUCGGUAGCCGGUCUGAGAGGAUGAACGGCCACAUUGGGACUGAGACACGGCCCAGACUCCUACGGGAGGCAGCAGUGGGGAAUCUUCCGCAAUGGGCGAAAGCCUGACGGAGCAACGCCGCGUGGGUGAGGAAGUUCUUCGGAACGUAAAGCCCUGUUGUACAUGACGAACGUGCUUUCUAUCAACAACGGGAAGCAAUGACGGUAGUGUACGAGGAAGCCACGGCUAACUACGUGCCAGCAGCCGCGGUAAUACGUAGGUGGCAAGCGUUGUCCGGAAUUAUUGGGCGUAAAGCGCAUGUAGGCGGUGCCUUAAGUCUGUCGUGAAACUGCGGGGCCUAACCCCGUAUGGCGAUGGAAACUGGGUUACUUGAGUGCAGGAGAGGAAAGGGGAACUCCCAGUGUAGCGGUGAAAUGCGUAGAUAUUGGGAAGAACACCGGUGGCGAA
rnacentral:rRNA from 1 species